GACGAACGCUGGCGGCGUGCUUAACACAUGCAAAUCGAACGCUGAAGCACCAGCUUGCUGGUGUGGAUGAGUAGCGAACGGGUGAGUAAUACGUGAGUAACCUGCCCUUGACUCUGGGAUAAGCCCGGGAAACUGGGUCUAAUACUGGAUGCUACAUGUCACCGCAUGGUGGUGUGUGGAAAGGGUUUACUGGUCUUGGAUGGGCUCACGGCCUAUCAGCUUGUUGGUGAGGUAAUGGCUCACCAAGGCGACGACGGGUAGCCGGCCUGAGAGGGUGACCGGCCACACUGGAACUGAGACACGUCCCAGACUCCUACGGGAGGCAGCAGUGGGGAAUAUUGCACAAUGGGCGAAAGCCUGAUGCGGCGACGCCGCGUGAGGGAUGACGGCCUUCGGGUUGUAAACCUCUUUCAGCAGGGAAGAAGCCACAAGUGACGGUACCUGCAGAAGAAGCGCCGGCUAACUACGUGCCAGCAGCCGCCGUAA
rnacentral:rRNA from 1 species